GGGGCAGGGUUCUUCGGCUACAUGGACGGCAGCAUGCCGGAGCCGGCCAAGGUCGUCGUCAGCAAGGAUAAGGAUGGCAAGGAGGAAACCAUCCCCAACCCGCUUCACUCGGUUUGGAUCCGAGAGGAUCAGCAGGUGCUUGGUUACCUUCUGAAUAACCUCUCCAAAGAAGUGCUUGUGCAGGUGACCUCGAUCCCCCACGCGCACGAACUCUGGACAACGUUGGCGAGCAUGUUCUCAUCCACAUCGCUGUCUCGCGUCAACAUCAUCUGCGCAUCGCUCACGAACACGCAGAAGGGACAGCAGUCGGUGGCCUCCUACUUCGCGUACAUGCGGGGUCUCGCCGACGAGCUCGCUGCAGCAGGCAAGCCCCUGCCAGAUGACGAGCUGAUCUCCUACAUCCUCAACGGGUUGGACAUGGAGUACCAACUGCUAGUCUCCGCCCUCGACGCUCGGGUCAUCCCGGUUACCCUUGACGAGUUGUUCUCGAUGAUGAGCAACUUCGAUCAAAGGGUGGCUUUCGGUGUCAAAACCGGCGGAUCUCAGGUAGGGGGUCCUGAACUGUGCGUCUAG
rnacentral:rRNA from 1 species